UAUGGUUAAAUUUUAUAUUCUUGUCUUUAAUUUUUGCUAAUGUGCUUUGUUUAAAUGCCUUUUUGUAUUUUUUUGUUAUAUAUAACGUGGCUCUGUACUAAUGCAUCCAGUCAUUGUGUUAUUGUGCUAUAGUAAAUUUUUGUAUUCCUGUCUUUCGUUUUUGCUAAUGUGCUUUGUCUGUAUGUCGUUUUGUUUUUUUGUGUUACAUAUUUGUUUGUUUUUAUAGUGAUUACGACAAUGUUGACUGCUUUUCAAAUAGAGAAGUGGAUGAUGGUCAUUUUCAUUGAAGUUGCGACUGUCAAUUUAAUCAUUGUUAUUAAUCGUUAGUAUAGGUUAUCAUACCCAAUGUAGUAAUUAAAUCUUUGAAUAUAGUUUACAUUGGCACAAAUGUCGAUUCUGUCAUCAGGAAAUUAAAACAUAUUAACUAAAUUUGUAUUAUUUUCAAACGACAUCCACUUUGAUUUUUGUUCUAUAAAGAUGUUAACUCCUAACUAUCCUA
rnacentral:lncRNA from 1 species